rnacentral:rRNA from 1 species
ACGGGAGGCAGCAGUGGGGAAUAUUGCACAAUGGGGGAAACCCUGGUGCAGCGACGCCGCGUGAGUGAAGAAGUAUUUCGGUAUGUAAAGCUCUAUCAGCAAGGAAGAAAAUGACGGUACUUGACUAAGAAGCCCCGGCUAACUACGUGCCAGCAGCCGCGGUAAUACGUAGGGGGCAAGCGUUAUCCGGAUUUACUGGGUGUAAAGGGAGCGUAGACGGUGAGGCAAGUCUGAAGUGAAAUGCAUGGGCUCAACCCAUGAACUGCUUUGGAAACUGUCUGACUAGAGUGCAGGAGAGGUAAGUGGAAUUCCUAGUGUAGCGGUGAAAUGCGUAGAUAUUAGGAGGAACACCAGUGGCGAAGGCGGCUUACUGGACUGUAACUGACGUUGAGGCUCGAAAGCGUGGGGAGCAAACAGGAUUAGAUACCCUGGUA